rnacentral:lncRNA from 1 species
AUGUUGAUCAGCAGGUGGAGCUAUAUCUGCACAUGCGCAGAUAGAACGCACAUGGUUCAAUCUUCUCUUCUGAUUGACGCCAUUUUGUGCAGUUCGUUUUGUGUUCAUGCGGAGACACAGAGUUUUGGUGUUAUGCCUCCAGAGUCCCUCAAGUGGCUGUGCAAAGAUUGUGGCUCGUUUCACACAUCCAGAUCAAAGCUUUUAAAACACUUAAGGUUAGUACAUAGACACCAUAACCGCAGACAAGCAUAUCCAUGUGUAUAUACUCACUGUCCAUGCACUUUUAAAACAUGGAAUGCACUGCGGUCCCACUUAUGCAGAUCAGAUGAUCUGGGGGGUGAAAACUUUUGAACAUGAUGAAGAUGGCCAAAUUUUUCUUAUUUUGUUGAAAUAUAAUAGUUUUCCAUUUAGUUCUGCCCUUCGUAAGCAACAGAAGAUACUUGUAUGUUUCCCGGUACACAAAUUAAGUACAAUUUACCUUGAUCUUCAAAUUCCAAAAGUUUUCACCCCCCAGCUCUUAAUGCAUCUUGUUUCCUUCUGGAGCAUCAGUGAAUGUUUGAAUCUUUUUAAAUAGUUGUGUUUGAGUCCCUCAAAUGUCCUCAGUCUGAAAAGAUGUAUCUCAAAAUCAUACAGUCACUGCUGGAAAGGGUUCAAAUAUGCAAAGAUGCUGGAAAACUGAAGAAUCUGCAGGACCUUAAAGAUUUUUCUGAAGAACGCUGCUCAGUUUAACUGUUCAGAACAAACAAGGGACUCAUGCACAACCAUCACAAAACAGAAAGACAGUCGAGGAUCAUCAGGUAACAGAACAUAGUAUUAAGAACCAAGGGUUCCCAAACUUUUGAGUGGGGUUAUUUUAAUAAUUUCAGCAAUUUUUUUGUCUUGUGGACUAAAUGUUAAUAUCUUUUAUGUACAAUAUCUUACUCAGGACAGUACUAAAUAAAAAAUAACAUGCAUUUAGUAUGAUCUCUCUUAUUUUUUGAAAAUUACUCAUAUUUUCACAGAUUCUGCAAGGGGUGCCCAAACUUUCGAUCCCCACUGUAUAUUAUUGCAUGUAAGUGUUGGGGUGGGCAAAAGAUUCAAUUCAUUAAGGGGUAAUCUUAAUUUUUGAGUAGUAAAUACUUACAUUUUUAGAGUAUAAAAUCAACAAUCUUCUCCAAAGGUGAGAUCUUCAAGCAGCUGUUCAACGUGUGCAGACAUUGCAGAGUCGCUGAGAGAAACUGUACUGGACUGUUGAGUUAGUGAUGCUAUGAGGUGGUAGUGCACCUGUACCUCAUUUUUAUUAUUAUUGACAAACUUAAUACAUAAAAGAUCAUGGUAAGACGGUUGUAUCUAAAAUUAACAAUCAUAAUGCCAGAACAGUAAAUACAAAUG